ACCGUGGGCGCGUUCGUGGGUACCGACAAACCGUUCGCGCACGUGGCUACGUAGUUGUUAAUGCGCACCGUCGCGAACAUAGCGCUGGCGAACUGUCGGAAAAGAGUUAAAAUUCGACUCUUCUCUGUGACAGCGUCGAAACUAACGGCUGAGAGCGUUGUAAGAAAGUGGGAUGGCCGUUCUCAGACUUGUAUUUGACAGAAUCUGUUGAUAAAAUUAUUAUAUUCAGUGAUUUGACUCGCAUUAUUAUAACAUGCAAUAAUUUUUGAAAUGACAUACUGACAAUAGAAUCGAGCACCAACUCGUUGUAUCGAAUUUUGGUUCAAAUUCUGAUUCUGACCGGGAAACAUUCAAGGGAAUAUAACACCUUGUUCCUUUUGCAUCAUGUAAUAAACUAUUUUCCACUGGGAGUGGUUUGUUUUCAACAUAUAAUUAGUAUGGAUGCUCUAAAUCUUUAAUAGAUGUCAACUACAAUGAUCGUAUCAUUUAUUGCUAACACUUGAUUGUAAAAAAUAUAAAUCGU